AGUGAACGCUGGCGGCAGGCCUAACACAUGCAAGUCGAACGGCAGCACAGUAAGAGCUUGCUCUUAUGGGUGGCGAGUGGCGGACGGGUGAGGAAUACAUCGGAAUCUACUCUUUCGUGGGGGAUAACGUAGGGAAACUUACGCUAAUACCGCAUACGACCUACGGGUGAAAGCGGAGGACCUUCGGGCUUCGCGCGAUUGAAUGAGCCGAUGUCGGAUUAGCUAGUUGGCGGGGUAAAGGCCCACCAAGGCGACGAUCCGUAGCUGGUCUGGGAGGGUGAUCGGCCACACUGGAACUGAGACACGGUCCAGACUCCUACGGGAGGCAGCAGUGGGGAAUAUUGGACAAUGGGCGCAAGCCUGAUCCAGCCAUGCCGCGUGGGUGAAGAAGGCCUUCGGGUUGUAAAGCCCUUUUGUUGGGAAAGAAAAGCAGUCGGUUAAUACCCGAUUGUUCUGACGGUACCCAAAGAAUAAGCACCGGCUAACUUCGUGCCAGCAGCCGCCGUAAAAC
rnacentral:rRNA from 1 species